GGAUGCGAUCAUACCAGCACUAACGCACCGGAUCCCAUCAGAACUCCGAAGUUAAGCGUGCUUGGGCGAGAGUAGUACUAGGAUGGGUGACCCCUUGGGAAGUCCUCGUGUUGCAUCCC
rnacentral:rRNA from 1 species